rnacentral:rRNA from 1 species
AGAGUUUGAUCCUGGCUCAGAUUGAACGCUGGCGGCAGGCCUAACACAUGCAAGUCGAACGGUAACAGGAAGCAGCUUGCUGCUUUGCUGACGAGUGGCGGACGGGUGAGUAAUGUCUGGGAAACUGCCUGAUGGAGGGGGAUAACUACUGGAAACGGUGGCUAAUACCGCAUAACGUCGCAAGACCAAAGAGGGGGACCUUCGGGCCUCUUGCCAUCAGAUGUGCCCAGAUGGGAUUAGCUUGUUGGUGAGGUAACGGCUCACCAAGGCGACGAUCCCUAGCUGGUCUGAGAGGAUGACCAGCCACACUGGAACUGAGACACGGUCCAGACUCCUACGGGAGGCAGCAGUGGGGAAUAUUGCACAAUGGGCGCAAGCCUGAUGCAGCCAUGCCGCGUGUAUGAAGAAGGCCUUCGGGUUGUAAAGUACUUUCAGCGGGGAGGAAGGUGUUGUGGUUAAUAACCACAGCAAUUGACGUUACCCGCAGAAGAAGCACCGGCUAACUCCGUGCCAGCAGCCGCGGUAAUACGGAGGGUGCAAGCGUUAAUCGGAAUUACUGGGCGUAAAGCGCACGCAGGCGGUCUGUCAAGUCGGAUGUGAAAUCCCCGGGCUCAACCUGGGAACUGCAUUCGAAACUGGCAGGCUUGAGUCUUGUAGAGGGGGGUAGAAUUCCAGGUGUAGCGGUGAAAUGCGUAGAGAUCUGGAGGAAUACCGGUGGCGAAGGCGGCCCCCUGGACAAAGACUGACGCUCAGGUGCGAAAGCGUGGGGAGCAAACAGGAUUAGAUACCCUGGUAGUCCACGCCGUAAACGAUGUCUACUUGGAGGUUGUGCCCUUGAGGCGUGGCUUCCGGAGCUAACGCGUUAAGUAGACCGCCUGGGGAGUACGGCCGCAAGGUUAAAACUCAAAUGAAUUGACGGGGGCCCGCACAAGCGGUGGAGCAUGUGGUUUAAUUCGAUGCAACGCGAAGAACCUUACCUGGUCUUGACAUCCACAGAACUUUCCAGAGAUGGAUUGGUGCCUUCGGGAACUGUGAGACAGGUGCUGCAUGGCUGUCGUCAGCUCGUGUUGUGAAAUGUUGGGUUAAGUCCCGCAACGAGCGCAACCCUUAUCCUUUGUUGCCAGCGAUUAGGUCGGGAACUCAAAGGAGACUGCCAGUGAUAAACUGGAGGAAGGUGGGGAUGACGUCAAGUCAUCAUGGCCCUUACGACCAGGGCUACACACGUGCUACAAUGGCGCAUACAAAGAGAAGCGACCUCGCGAGAGCAAGCGGACCUCAUAAAGUGCGUCGUAGUCCGGAUUGGAGUCUGCAACUCGACUCCAUGAAGUCGGAAUCGCUAGUAAUCGUGGAUUAGAAUGCCACGGUGAAUACGUUCCCGGGCCUUGUACACACCGCCCGUCACACCAUGGGAGUGGGUUGCAAAAGAAGUAGGUAGCUUAACCUUCGGGAGGGCGCUUACCACUUUGUGAUUCAUGACUGGGGUGAAGUCGUAACAAGGUAACC